UCCUGGUGGGACAGUUGCAUACUUGCGAUCAAGAUAUUGUGGCAAAAGGCCUGAUUGUUUUGGUCACUACAAUGGGCUCAGUGAUAAUAAAGAACAAUUAGAGAAGGUGGUUGGGAAUGAAAAUAUUGUAAAGAAAAGUAGGCAAAAAAAGAAAGGUGGAUUGAAGUCACUUCAGGUUUUAGCUUCAAUUCUUCUAUCUCGUAUGGGGCGAAUUGGGGCAAGGGAUCUUCUCUCUUUAUUGGGCAUAAUAGUGUGGAUUUAUGUGUCUCAUGUGUCUGAAACUAGUCUCCUCUCAAAAUACUAUAUCUGGUGACGUUGAUAUGCUGCUCUGUUUCCGUCAUUACUUUCUGGUGAUUUCUGCUUAAUUCCCUUUAUGAAUGCUGUUGAAAGGACUGUUAAUAUUUGUUCCAUUGGAUAUUCAUUUGAUUACUUACUUUGCAAGAAUUAUAAUUGAAUAAACAGAAACAUUUCAAGAUGCUUGGAAAUUUGCAAGAUGAUCCAAAACGUUAAACAGGAUUGGUGAGUGCAAUGCAU